rnacentral:lncRNA from 1 species
AACAUUUUAUUUUAUUUGACAGUGGUUUACCAGGAGGCAUUUAAAAAUGGAUCCCUUCCGAACACCUUUAAUGAGGCUUUGAUAUCACUGAUUCCUAAAAAGGAUAGAGAUACUACAGAACCUGGACAUUUUAGAACUAUCAGCCUCCUUAAUGUGGAUUGUAAGAUUCUUACUAAGAGCCUUGCGAUACGCUUAGAGAAGGAACUACCUAAUAUUAUACAUAGUGACCAAGUAGGAUUUAUUAAGAACAGGACCUCAACUGAUAAUAUGAGGAGGCUCUUACAUCAAAUGUGGUUAAACCGCUACAGCUGCUGUCUCCUUAGAUACUGAGAAGGCAUUUGAUAGGGUAGAGUGGGCUUUUUCCUUUAGAACCCUAGAAAAAUUUGGUUUUGGCCCUGACUUUUGUAUAUGGAUAGGGGUCCUCUAUUCCAAUCCUAAAGCAGCAGUACUUACGAUGUCUACUUUUUUUUUUGUAUUUCUAGAGGCAAAAGGCAGGGUGACUUGCUCUCCCCUCUCCUGUUUACCAAAGUUUUAGAGCCUCUUGCAACAAUGAUAAGGACAGAUACAGAAAUUAGGGGUGUACAUGGAGGAAAAAACAGAAGCUGCUUAUGUAUGCAGAUGAUAUUCCACUGCUGGUCUCUGAUUCUCUUCAGUCUGUACCAUGAUUACUUACUUGUAUUGAAUCAUAUUCUAGUAUGUCAGGUUACAAAAUGCAAUGGGUCGGAAGCAAUGCCAAAUAAUGGCAUAUGUAUUCUGGAAAUGUUACCCCAUUUAAUGUCAAAUGGGUUCCUACUGUGAUGAAAUAUUUGGGUAUUAAGUUGAACUCAAAUUUGGAAGAAGCGAUGGGACAACAUUUUUAGCCACUACUAGUCAAGAUUAAGACCAAUUUAGAAAAAUAUCAAACUUUCUUUAUGGGGAAAGAUCAACAUGAUUAAAAUGGUUGUGGUCCCACAAUUUAAACAUAUCUCUGCAAUGUUACCUAUGAAUAUUCCAGACCGUUAUUUUAAACAAUAUGACAAAUUAACAAAAAACUUUGAGGGAUAGGAGAAAAAACAGGAUUAAUAUGAAGAAGAUGUGCUUACCAAGGGAUGUAGGAGGCUUGGCUUUACCAGAUGUUAAAUUGUAAAAUGUAUAAUUUGAAAUGGCUAAAUUGGUGACGCGUUGGGGUAAAGGGGAUGCUGGCUUGGAUUGGAUAACAAUAGAACGGGAACCAAGUUAUCCUUUCACCCCUGUUGAUACUCUGUUACAUAGUCUUUACAGGGGAGAGGUCUGUUGAUACUCUGUUCCAGUCUUACAGGGGAGAGGUCUGUUGAUACUCUGUCACAGUCUUACAGGGGAGAGGUCUGUUGAUACUCUGUCCCAGUCUUACAGGGGAGAGGUCUGUUGAUACUCUGUCACAGUCUUACAGGGGAGAGGUCUGUUGAUACUCUGUCCCAGUCUUACAGGGGAGAGGUCUGUUGAUACUCUGUCCCAGUCUUACAGGGGAGAGGUCUGUUGAUACUCUGUUACAUAGUCUUACAGGGGAGAGGUCUGUUGAUACUCUGUCCCAGUCUUACAGGGGAGAGGUCUGUUGAUACUCUGUCACAGUCUUACAGGGGAGAGGUCUGUUGAUACUCUGUCACACAGUCUUACAGGGGAGAGGUCUGUUGAUACUCAGUCACACAGUCUUACAGGGGAGAGGUCUGUUGAUACUCUGUCACAGUCUUACAGGGGAAACUGUUGUUACACUCAAAAGAGGUGUGGAGAACAGUACACAAGAUAUGUGGAAUUUCACAUCUAAAACAAGAAUACUCAUCAUUGUGGCACAAUCAGUAAGGGGUGCGUAAGGAAGGAAACUCCUGCACCUCAGAUUCCUGGAGCGGGCCAGCCACCACCGGCCUGAGGAGAGACACAUGGAACGAGGGGUUAAUGCGGUAAUCGGGGGGAAGCUAACCUAUAACAUACCUCGUUCACUCUCCUCAGGACUUUAAAUGGCCCCACAAACCGCGGACCGAGCUUCCGACAGGGCAGGCUGAGGGGCACACCGGGGCCUCACUGCGGUGAUGGUCUGCGCCAACUUUCUGGUGCAGCACGGUGCGCUGAAGAUGGACACGGCGUCCCAUGUUUCCUCAGCGCCGGAACCAGUCAUCCACCGCAGGAGCCUCGGUCUGACUCGGAUGCCAAGGAGCCAGAACUGGCUGAUACCCCAAUACACACUGGAAAGGAGAGAGGUUAGUGGAGGUGUGUCGGAGCGAGUUCUGGGCCAUCUCUACCCAGGGCACGAACGCUGCCCACUCCCCCGGCCGGUCCUGGCAAUAAGACCUCAGAAACCUACCCACAUCCUGGUUAACUCUCUCCACCUGCCGUUACUCUCUGGGUGAAAACCUGAG